CACUGUCUUUUUUAACAGACGAGAAAACUGAGACCCAGAUAAUUUAUGCCCAAGUCAUACUUCUAAUAUGUGUUGAAGUUAGGACUAAACCAGAAAGUUUGGCUUCAGAGUCCACACAUGUUUCUGUAUACCUCUAGAAUACAUGGUCAAUGUAUUCAGAUUAUCAACUGUUUUUAUUUGGAGAGCUCAAAGAAAAGUAGAGAAAAUACAACCCAUAUCCACAGAGCCAAAUGGACAAGUCUAAAGUCUAAGGGGCUCCAUGGUGCUGUCCUCACCAUACAUAGAAUUUCUUCAUUUGUCACAAAUGGCAAUGAGGACAAAGUAGAGGCCAAAAUCAAGCAUCUUUCAGUUCAAGCUUCAGGAGAAGGGAGAAGGGACAAGAAAGAGGAUAAGAUGAAGUGGUGGGAUCUAAAGCCCUGCAAGGCCUGAAUGUGUCCCCUUGAAAUGUAUAUGUUGAGACAACUACCAGUGUAAUAGUAUUAAGAGGUGGGCCUUUAGGAGAUGAUUAAGUCAUGAGGGUGGAGGCCUCCUAGAUGGGAUUAGUGCCCUUAUAAAACAGCUGCAGCAGAGCUUGCUUGCCCCUUCCACCUUGUGAGGACACAGCAAGGGGCACCAUCUAUGAAGUACAGAGUGGGCCCUCACCAGACGCCAAAUCUGCCUGCGCCUUGAUCUUGGACUUCCAGCCUCCAAAACUGAGAAAUAAAUGUCUAUUACCUACAAAUUACCCAGUCUAAGGUGUUUUGUUACAGUGUCUCUAGUAAACUAAGGCAAGCCCCAGCUGGAAACAUCCAUCUCUGCUAAAAGUGCCACAGGACCUGGAAUGAGUAACAGACUCUUUUCACAUCUUAUCUGCAAGAAGCUGGGUUCUGUGUUUGUCUCAGCCUGGCCCUGCUCUCAAGGUUAGCAUUGCACAACUGGAGGAGGUUUUGGUGACUUCUGUUGCCCACCUUGUUCUCUCAGUAGAAGAGCCAGACCCCAGAGAAGGGAAGAACACCAGGUUCACAGUGGAGAGAGAACAACCCCCCAUUCUCCUGCUGAGGCUGCACUAGGGGUGAACCCCACCCCACCCUGUCCUCUGGGAAGCCCCUCCUGACUCCUCCCUCUGCAGUCAGGCUGUUUCCAUUCACAGCAUGUAGUCACAGCACCAUUCCCAGUAUAUUUUUGGACACUAGUCCUGGCUGCAUUGCCAGGAUAUGGGGCCCUUGGGUUUUCCCUCUGCUACAGUGCUGGCCUGGCUGGAUGGAAAAACAGGUAGGCAAGGGUUCACCCCUGAGGAUAAAAGGGAUAUAAGCCUGUGGCCAUCCUGGGGGUUAUAAGCCUCUCCACUCCUGUCUUUUUCUGUGGCAUAUAACAGAGCACUCGAAACCAGGCAUUUAUUAUUUUCUUCUGGAGGCCAAGAAAUCCAAGGUGGAGGGGCCACAUCUAGUGGGGCUGUCUUGCUGGUGGGGACUCUCUAUAGAGUCCUGAGGCAGCACAGAGCAUCAAAUGGCAAGGGGGCUGAGCAUGCUCACCUGCUAGCUCAGGUCUCGCUUCCUUUUUUAUGAAGACAUCAGUCCCACUCCUAUGAUAACCCUGUGAUUCAUAAGGGAAGAACCUUCAUGACUCAGUUACCUGUUAAAGGCACUGUCUCUCAAUACUGACAUACCGAGAAUUAAAUUUCAACACAUGUUUUGGAGGGGACAAAUAUUCAAACUCUAGCAACUUCCCAGAAAUUGACUCAUUUCUGUUUCCUAUGCAGCAGCUUCUUUACCUUUCAAAGGAUCUGGUCAUCCUAACUCCAGGCUGCUGAGACGGGUCUGAGCAAAUCUAAACUGUGUCCUGGAUUCCUGGAGACAAGCUUCAUGCAAACCCCAGCAUGAAUGUCUCAGACUCGCCAGACCCUGCUUAGCUGGCUGGUUGUCUGAGAGCACAAUUAGAAAAGAAAUGGCUCUGAGGAGACAGAGGAGAUGCGUAGCUAACUCUCACACACAAUCUCACAUACACCCACCUCACACCCUCACACACUUCUCAGACACUCACACACUCAAUCUCCGACACACACACACACAUUCAGUCUCACACACACAGCACAUUGCACCAAGCAUCUCCAGGUAGAGGUAAUUAAAAGUUGAUUUAUGUCCUUCUGAGGCACUAAGACUGUAAUGAAUUUCUCCAUGUUUCUGUGAUUGCUUCUGUAAAUGGGGAUGCUGGCUUUUCUGGGGAAAAAUAUGGUGAAAUAAAUCUAAAUUUUGCUGCAGUAAAUAUAUAUUAAGGAAUAUGUAACAUUGGCCUGGAUAUUACAGGAGUUAUAAAGAAAAAGCCACCUAUGUGCUUGCCCUAUACCAUACAUUUCCUCCAUGAUUACAGAAGGUGGGGAAGCAUUUGCCUUUGUAAGUGUAGUGGAUGGAGUUGAUGUGAAUCCAGAUGCAUCAGCAUUGGAGACAAAUAAAGGACAAACCUGGCAAGAUAUGAUGAAUCUGUGCUCAAUCAAAAUUCAUUCACCUGAAUUCCAAUUGGUUUAUUCUUGCCGGGGUAAGAAAUGGAACAGAAAUCACAGGCAUUUCAAAAGGUCAUGUCCAUCCAAUCAUCAACAUUCUCUCUGGAUGCCUCUCUAAAGUGCUCUUCUCUAAGUUUACCCUUUUAUAUUUUGUCUCUGAAACAUGGUAGGUAUCAGAAUUAGUCCUUCACAGUUAUAAAUGCUGCUGUGUUCAGAACAAAGUCUGAUCUUAGUUUCUGAUCUCUGAACCCACAAGGGGUGUCAGUCUGUGUCACUCCAGGCAAGUGCUUUCAUGUCUUGGGGCCUCAGCAAAUAAUGAAGCUAAAGCUAUAGCAGCUCUUAUAAACAAAGAUAGAUCCAAUGAUUAAAUCUAAAUUCAUCAACCAGAAACACUCAUUACUAUUCAAAGUGCCCAGGGCCACCAAGAAUUCUUCUAAUAAACUUUCUUUCUGAGGUUCCUAUGUCCUAAAAGCCACAUGUCACUUAUCAAUAAUAAUAAUACACCUUGCCAUUUGAGGUUGACCAAAAAUGUACUUAACUAUAAAGCAGUGCUUCUGAUGAGCAAGAGAAAACCUAUGUCUGCAGGAAAACUAUGAUGUAAUUCCAACCAAAAGUAAUGACAUUUAAGAUUUGUGUUAUGAAUAACUGUAUAUUUUAUGCUUGGAAAAAUACAUAGUGCUUAUAAUUUAUAGAAGCUGCCAUUUGACCCUGUGCUACCCUCAUAAACGCUUUUGGGAUUCAGGAGCCUUGAGCUGGGAAGUACUGGGUCUGGUGUUUUCUAAGGUUCUGGCAUUCUAUGCAAUUUGGUCUAAGAAAUUCUGGCUGCCAAGGGGAAAGGAUAUCAGGGACUCUCAUUUCUUGCCAGUGAGAAUGUCUAAUCUUUGUGAAGGUCAAUUUUGGAAUACAUUUUAAGAACCAUAAAGUGGGUAUAGAAGAAGUUCUAGUUUUAAUGAUGAUGGAGUAUCCUCCACUGGCCCAAUCCUCCUGCAGAUAAGAUUUAUAAACUCUGAACAAAAUAUUUUUUAAAAAUUGAAAGCACUGGCAGAGAGAAACUGGAGUUUGACCUUUGAAAUAAGGAACUGCACCCGUGCUUCCUAUGCUUACCCUGUUUUUAUCUAAGGGCUCUCUCUAGUCCGCCAGGCAGAAAGCUGUGAUCUUAUUGCUUGAGGUGUCAGAGGACAGAGUUUGGGGCUGCCAGAGUGACUGGAAAUUGAGGGGGAUAAAUCCUGGAAAGAGCUAAAGUUUUUAAAGCUGAAUAAUGAUUUCAACCAAUUGCCCAUUGCUCAAUGAUUGGGAGACAGAUUUUGGAGUUUAAAUCCUAUCAAUUUUUCCAAAAGAGCUGUUUGGAAACAUCUUGGGCAUUUCACUAAAAUCCUAGGAAGGGGUCAUACCUAAGAGUAAUAACUAUGCCCCCAGGAUUAAAGAUCCUCCCUAAGACUAAGGAAAAAUCUAAAUAGGCCUACCCUAAAGAGUAUAAAACCAAGGUUCUGCAACUUUAAGGUGACAUUCCAUAAUUAACUGAUUGAUGUUGCCAAAGGAAAACAAUAGAAUCCAGAAUCUCUAAAUCUAUUAUCCACAAAACACAGUAUAUAAUAAAAACUUAUAAACAUGCAAAGAAACAGAAAAAAGUGACUCAUACUCGAAAGAAAAAAAAAGUUAAUAGCAACAAACUCCAAGGUACUCUAGGUGUUGGAAUUAGUAGACAAGAAUUUUUGAGUAGCUAUUAUAAAUAUGUUCAAGGACAUAAAGGAAAAUAUUUUAAUAAUGAAGGAACAGAUAGAAAAUCAGAGAAGAAAAUAGCAACAACUUGGGGUAAAACAAAAAACAAAAACAAAUAGAGCUUCUAGAACUCAGAAAUGAAAAUUUCAGUGGAUAAGCCUAACAUUAGAUUGGAGGCAACAGAAGAAAAGGUCAGUGAACUGGCAGAGAGCUCAAUAUACGCUAUCCAAUCUUAAGAACAUAUAGAAAAUAUUUUUUAAUAAAAGAGUAUCAGCGACAUCUGGCAUAAUAUCACAUAGUUUAACAUAUGUGUAAUUAUAAUUUCAGAAGAGGAAUAGAGAGAAAAUGUAAUUGAAAAUGUCUUAUAUUUGAUGAAAAGCACUAACUUAUAAACCCAAGGAUCUCAAAACACUCCAAAGAAGAUGAACACACACACACAGAGGGCACACACACACUCACACACACAUGCACAACACAGUCAAACUGUUGAAAAAUUAAGAGAAAGAGAAAAAUCUUGAGCAGCCAGAGGCACAUUACCUGUGUGGGGCCAAUGAUAUAAAUCAUAUCGGUUUUUUUAUCAGAAGCAAUGAGGUCAGAGAUGACAAAAUUUUGUGGUAACGAAAUAAUAAAUGCUGAAAUUCUAUGUCCAGUAAAAUAUAUCAUUCAAAAAAUGAAGGUAAUAUAGACAUUUUCAGUUAAGUGAAGCUGAGAGAAUUCAUCACCAGGAUAUAUGAAAGAAAGUUCUUCAGGUUGAAGAGAAAUGACAUCAGAUGGAAACUUGGGUAUUGAGAAUGGAAAGCAGAUACCAAGAUGUUAACAACCAUGGAUAGGUAAAAUAUGUGUGUAACCAUAAAAGACUACUCUCUUUGUCUUUCUCUAAUUUCUUUAAAAAAUAAUUGCCCAUUGCUUAUCCCUGUUGUCUAUGUCAUGUUAUGCAAAGUGUAUUCUCUAACUAAGUGGGUAUUAGAAAUCAACAACCAUAUAAUAUCUUAAAAAUUUUCAUGCAAAAAUUAAGUAACACACUUUUAGGUUUAUCAAUAUAGACUUAAAAAUAAAAGCCUAAAACUAUAAAACUUGUGGAAGAAAGCAUAAACGAUCUCUGCUACCUUGGGUUAGGCAAAGAUUUCUUAGGAUACAAAAAACACUACUCAUACAUUAAUUAUACAUUUAUUUUAGUAAUAAAUUUAUUUUCAUGAAAUUCUUCUCUUUGAAAGAAAGAAAAUGAAAAAGAGAUAAGCCAAAGACUAGGAGAAAAUAUUCACAAUAUAUUUAUUUGGCAAAGGACUUAUAUCAAGUAUACAUGAAGAAUUUCUAUAAAUCCAUAAUAAAAAAUACAUGGCCAAAUAUAAAAAUAGGCCUGGAACAGCCUAGAGAUAGGUCUAAUAAAAGGCCUAAAACAGACACUUUGCAAAUGGUCAAUAAGCACUUGCAAAGGUAGUCAACAUAAUGAGUAAUUGGGGAAAUGCAAAUUAAAACCAGAACUAAAUGCCGUUUCCCAUGUACUAGAACAGCUCAAAUUAUAGAGAUUAAAGACACAAACUGUUGGUGAGGACAUGAAGCAAUUCUCAUACUUUGUUAGUGGGAACAUACGCCACUUUGGAAAAUUAUUUAGUAGUUACUUAUACAUUAAACAUCCACUUAUGUAUGGUUUAGCAAUACUUCUACUUUCCAAAGAGAAGUAAAAACACUUGUCCACAAAAUGACCUGUACUUGUUCUUACCAGCUUUAUUCAUGAUACAGUAGUCCCUGCUUUUCCACAGUUUUGUUUUCCAUGGUUUUUGCUACCUGUGGUUAAUCAUGGUCCAAAAUUAUUAAAUGGAAAAUUCCAGAAGUAAACAAUUCAUAAGUUUUAAAUUGUGCCUUCUUCUCAGUAUCAUGAUGAAAUCUCGUGAUGUCCUGUUUUAUUCCACCAGGGACAGUGAUACUCCCUCUUUCCAGUGUCUCCACGCCAUAUACACUUCCCACCCAUUUGUCACUUAGUAGCCCUCUCAGUUAUCAAAUCCACGGAUAGUGUCAAUACUAUCCACAGUCAGUGUAUAUAGGGGUCAGUACUGUCCACAGUUUUAGGCAUCUACUGGGGAGUCUUGGAACCUAUCCUGUGGAUAGGAGGGGGACUACUGUACUACAAAAUUGGAAAUAGCCCAAAUGGCCAUCAGCAGGUGAAUGACUAAACAAACUGUGCUAUAAUCAUACAAUGAAUUACUUCUCAGCCAAUCUGGGGACACAUACAAGUCACCUCGGACCUUAAUGCUGUGCCUGUGGUGAGAACAGGUCAUGAGCAACCCCAGCCAUAGACACCUAGGCAGGGACCCCAUGAGGGUGGCACCUAAAGACCAGGAGGGAGAAGCUCUUCUUCCUUGGGAGGCCAGCCCCUUCUCCCCAGAUGCCACAGGGCACACACACCCACUUCUCCUGGCACCUGGGCUGCAUUUUGGGAAAGGAGGGGAGUGGGGAAUCCUUGAGUGGCAUCAGAAACUUAGAACCUUAAUGAACGUAAGUUUUAAUACAGUAGAGAUUACUAAUCUUUAGUUAGUAAAAUGAAAUAUUUUGUUGCCACCAAUAGAAAGGGGCUGAUAUGGUUUGGUUCUGUGUCCCCACCCAAAUCUCACCUUGAAUUGUGAUAAUCCCCAUGUGUCAUAGGAGGGACCCAGUGGGAGGUAACUGAAUCUUGGGGGCAGGUUUUCACCAUGGCAUUCUUGUAGUAGUGAAUAAGUCUCAUGAGAUCUGAUGGUUUUAUGAAGGGGAGUUCCCCUGUACAUGCCUCUUGCCUGCUGCCAUGUAAGAAGUCCCUUUGCUCUUCCUUCGUCUUCUGCCAUGAUUGUGAGGCCUCCCCAGCCAUGUGGAACUGUGAGUCCAAUAAACCCCUAUCCUUUAUAAAUUACCCAUUCUCAGGUAUGUCUUUAUUAGCAGUGUGAAAACAGACUAAUACAGGGACCUUAAGUGUAAGACAAGUUUAGACAUAUACAUAAAAAAAUUAAAGUUAAAUAUUUUUGCACUUCUGACAUGCAGCUGAGCUAUGCUUGUGUUUCUAGAGGAACUAAAUGUCAGCGAUGGGCUCUGAGAGGAGGUGAAAGGAGGUAAGAGGAGAGACCUGAGUGUCCAGAGACCGCAAGCACUCCACGUCUAGAUUUUCAGGUUCCUAUUAUUAUUAUUAUAAUACUUUUAAGUUCUAGGGUACAUGUGCACAAUUGCACAUGUAAUAAAAAUGCUACAGCAGGUCUCAUUGAGCUGUCUUAGCUUAAGGUAAGCAAUGCUCCCUUUGUAAUUCAAGUUAAUCAGUGCAAUUUUGCCUCCAGAGAAAGGCUGUUUUCCACACUGACUUAGUAUGGGCUCUGAGAAACAAUAUGUCUGCAUUUUCUCAAAUAUUACAAUUUAUGGUUAAAAUAAAAUCUUGUUAUUCUCACGAAAUCCUGAAGGUCUUUAAGUGUUUUCCUUCCAUGUCAGAGUCCAAAAUCCUGGAAAGGCCCUGGUCUCUUCUCCAGGAAGGAAUGGCAGGAGGAACCUCCCCUUCACCCUCCCCUCACCCUACCCACCCCGCCCCCUUACCAUCAAGAAUAACCAGUGGAUGAGAGGGGCAUGCCAGUGACCUUAGAUUCAAGAUAAAAGCACGUGACAUUCUUUCAAAGCCAGAUAAUUCUAUAGACAAGUUGGAGCUUGGGUGAGCAACCAUCCUAGUUUCCCCAGGGCUAUUUGGGUGUUAACACUGAAAGUCCCACAUCUCCAGAAAUGUCUCAGACCCAGCAAGCAAACCAGGAAUGGUUCUCCUGCCAGUAGGUCAGGACUUGUGGGUCAGAGGUCCUCCCUGCCCCCAGGGCAGCUGCCUCCUCUCCUGACCGUUGGAAAGGGCUCUGAUGCACUGAUCUACACCCUGGUUCUCCGGGCUGUGUGUUAUCUCUGACAGCAGCCCCUGUGCCGCCAGCCUACCACCCCCACACCGUGUUAAAUUUCAACCACAAUCUGCUGCCUUGGCUCUUCUUGGUAUCUCUAGCCCAACGACAGCAGGCUACUUCCCAAGAACACCGAGAGUUUAGAAAGUUUUUUGUUUUUUUGUUUUAACAUCUUUGAGUGAUCUGUAAAUUUACUAACCUAUCAAUUCUGAUGAUGGAGUCUCUUUUCUUUGUUGUUGCUGUUGUCUAAAUUAGAGCUAUAUAAUUCCAAAAUGCUUGAACAUGAUAUGGCACCAACAUUCACUUCACUACCCCAAGCUUUUACCCUCAAGUAAAAGAUGAAUUCAGGAACAUGAGUUUUUUUGUUUAGUUUCUGGUCAGUGGGCAUCCUGGUGGGGUAAAACAUAGUAACAAGAAAAGGAAGAACAUGUAGAUGGUCAUUGCUUUUCAGGUGCAUUGCAGAGGCUUCUCUCUGAAGGGUGACUACAGUUCUAUACGGCCAUGUCAGUCCACCGGCAUUCAUUCAUUCAUUUAUUCAUUCAUUCAUUCAACACAUAUACAUUGCUUGGCAAAGUGCUUCUGAGAUGCAACCAAAAUAAAAACCCUGCCAGGAUUCAUUAUGGCUGUGGUCUCCCUGUACUAAACCUCACAUCCAUUUUUGUAUUUGAUGUGUCCUGCAAACUGCUGUGUAAAUGGGAGUUUUAUGAGCAAAUAGAAGGACCUGGCAAUAAUGCUGCCGUCUUAAGGAAUAGAAGAGCCUGUUGUUGCACAAUAGAGAGCCAGGGACAGAAAUCGGUGAAAUCGGCUCCAACACUGCCCCCCCCCCAAUACACCCCAGGCACACUUCUGCUUGACAGAUGCCAAGGCCUUGAUGCCAGGACUGGGUUUCCAAGGCACCAACCCAUUUGUAAGGUGGCACUACAAGGAUUCCUCAAGUCCUGAAUUAAUUCCACAUAGCAGACAAUCCUGCAUCACAGAUUUGGAGUGCAAGCAACAGAAUUUGCAUCUGUGAACUCCAGCAGAGGGCCUAGGUGCUAACAGUUCUGGCAGUUCUCUGAGCCAUGCAAAAGACUGGGUCAUCGAGUUUGGGAAUGAGAUUGCUAGGGGCCUGAGAAUAGGAAUGGCAAAAUGUGGUCAGAGUUCAUUGCUGAGGUGAACAAGUAAGCUCCCAAGUCUCAGAGAGCAGCAUCCCAGCCACAGACCAUGCUGGCAUGUACCAAGAAAGGAGAGGCAGCACUGGUCCUCUUGCUCCUGCGUAGGCUGGCAUGUGGAUCCACCCCUUCUCAAGGUAUCACACAAGUGCAGGGGCCAGAGGAAACCAGGGGCUGCAGAGGUAAGGGUCAAUGUGGGGUGGCCCCAAAAACAGCUCUCCUGACAAAGUUUUGUGGCUUUUUUUGUUGCUAGGCUGCUUCAAGUAUCACUCAGGGAUGUAGAAGACUGUCUCAUAGGUCUUAACUAUAACUAUCUGAGUCUGAAUAAUGGCUCCCAAAGACAUCCACAAAUCCCUGGAACCUGAGAAUGUUACCUUACACGGCAAAAGGGACUUUGCAGAUGUGAUUAAGUUGAAGAUCUUGAGAUAGAGAGGUAGUCCUGGAUUAUCUGAGUGGGCCCUUAACGUAACCACUGGGGUCCUUAUAUGAAGGAGGCAAGAAGGUUAAAGAAGGGAUAGCCAUGUGACGAUGGGGCAGACACUGGAGUGAUGGACUUUAAGUGGAGGAGGGGUCCACAAGCCAAGGAACGUUGGCCAUGUCUAAAAGCCGGAACAGACAAGGAAGCUGAUCUCCCCAAAGCCCUGCCGAAACCUUGACUUUAGCCCAUUGAAACAGAUUUCAGGCUUCUGGCCUUUGGGAACUGUGAGAGAAUACAUUUGUGUUUUGUGUUAAGCUACCAAGGAUGUUAGAGCAGCCAUGGGAAAGGGGUGCUGUUUGCAUGAGAAAAGCAGGAAGACAGAGAGAGGAACUGUGUCAGCCUCCUGGUCUGUGGGGAGCCACAUCCCAGGAACCCCAACCUCUGCCUUUUGCUGGGAAACAUUCUCCCAGUCUCCCAGUCUGAAACACCUCCCUCAAAUCCCAAAAAGACAAUGGUGGGAAUCCUCCGAGGUCCAGCAGAGCCUUGGGACAAGAUGCAAUCUUUCGCUAGCCCCAAGUGGGUGGGUUCACCCACCCUCAGCUCCAGCAGGUAGGCCCUUCUGAAUCUCAGGCUGGCUGAAUAGGUUCCAGACGCAGGAGGGAGCCCCCCCACCCCCUCUGGCAGCUGGAGUGUGUGCUGGAGAUCUGGGCAUGGGCUUGCCCAGGCAAAGAGUGGAGAAGCUUUUAUAGGAAAGCUGUAAAAGCAAGCAGGGUUGACUUGGGCACUCCCCCAGUUCCCAUGAGUCUGGGGCCCAUGACUGGCUCAUCGAUUGCUUGAACAAGCACACAUCAGAGACAUCCAGAUCAGAAUGGAAGCUGCUCAAGGCUCAGAUGAUCCCUGAGCCACCAACGUUAUCCUGGAGGUUCUUAUCACAGAGUAUGGGAAAUGCCAUACUGGGCUGUGGGUUUGCAGAAAUCCUCCAAAAGAUGCAGAAACAAGUCCAGCUGAAAAUGGAAUGCUUCCUGAUGGCUCAUUUUGUUCCAGCCUCAACCCAAAGGGUCCUGGAGCAAGAAGGAGGGAUUCCCAGUGAUAUCUGGUGAGUAAGAGAGAAAAGGAAGCGGGUACAUCCAAAAACACAAGCACAGUCUGUGAACACCGUCAGACAAGAGGGCCUGAAUGGCGCCUGUGGUGAUUGGGUCUUUUUGUUUGCUUUUGUUUUUGUCAUUGUUGUUUUGAGUCAGUUUAGGAGUUUUUUUUUAGUAAUGACUACUGGGAAACUCAGAGGGAAACACAUACACACACACACACACACACACACAAACACAUGAAAGAACAACAAUGCGGGGUGAUGACCACGGCUCAACCAAACGACAUUUUCAUCAUCCUGACACAUCUUGUUGAAACGGAAACUGAUCUGGGCCUAAAGUCCUCACAUCAUUUUUCCUGAUUCUCUUUGUCUGUUUUUAAAAGUAACGUUCAAUUAGAGAAAUAAUGCAUAGCCCUCCUUGUAAAAUACUACAACGUGAUAAAUAAGGCUCAAGAACUCCUUGGCUGCUGUCUGGACCGAGGGUCCCUCCCCAAGCCAGCCACUGUGCUCUAUUUUCUGUGGGUCUUUGCAGUCUGGGUCGAACUUUUUAAGCAUUUCAUUGCUACUACUUAGCUUUUGAGAGUGGGUUCAGCGCUCGUGACUGAAGCAUAUGCUUAGAGAACAGUGUCCCUGAAGUCAAAUCUCAAACUUUGCCUCAAUGCCUCUUGCCUCAGAAGGGCCCAGAAAGGUCUGAAUUGCCCUGAGAGUUUUCCUCCAGACAAUAGCUCAGCCUUCUGUGCCCAGCCAUGUUUGCAAAACUUUCUCACACACCCCUCAGCUAGUCCUCCACAAUCUAAGCCUAGGCUGCUGGGAUACACAUUUCUAUUUUGCAGAUAAUGAACAGAAGUCUCCACAGAGUUAAGAGUCUUAUACAAAACUACCUACCCUGGCUGGUUUUUCCACUAUAGCAGGGACUCCUUUCCUCCAAGUCCCGCCUCCACACCGAGGUCUCAGGUGUCGAGGGCCUUCCAGGCAUGAAUGUCCCACACCCGUGCUCCUGUCAGAGUCCUCACACUCUCUGACCAAGCUGCCUAAGUUCCAGGAAGCUCUAGGCCUGUGUUCUCCCAGGGAGGGGGGCUUCCCAUCUAGUCCCUCAAACCAGGAGCCCGGGGGUAUUUGUGAGGUUCUGGGAGAUUCUAGGAGACCAUAAAUACCAGACCUUUAAGCAAGCAUGGUCAGCAGCUGGUGAUAAAAUUGAAGGAAAGAGACACAGCAGCCUGCAUUUCAACCCUGCCCUCUCCACACCCUCCAAACUGAGUACCUGGGGUUGCAGGGAGGCAGGGCCACCAAAGUCCCCAGUGGGACCGCAGUGUGGCUCUGAGGACGGAGCUGGAUAUUGUAAGGUUGGCAGCAACUCAGGCCAGUACUCUCAAGUGGGAACAGUUGGGAAAACAGGUAGAAAGAAAAGACAGCAUGAGAAUCUCUAGGACGGGAGCCAGCGCAGUCUUCCCAAAGAAUAUCGUGCAGACAUGCUCUGCACACAAACCUUCCCUUCCUAGAGAUCCAGAAUAUCUAGGAAGAUUCAUGUUCAUCAGCAUUAUGAAAGCCCUGAGAAGUCCUGCAGUCAUGGAAUAAUAUAAUAAUAACGAUAAUAAUAGCCCAAGGUUUUCUAAACUUACUAGUCCAGAGAAUUCUUUUCUAGCGAAAUGCCUAUUGCUGUCUCCCCAUGGAGCACAUGUUGUGACUGCUGGCCUGGCCCAUCUGGGGUAAGGAGCGAUGUUGGUCACAGUGCUUCUUAAGCAGCUGUGAACUUCCACAGCCUCACUGCAAUGGCCCUGGCCCCCAAUCUUACUUCUGAUAGGUUAGACAGAUGCAAUGUCUAAAACCCUCAAUUACUGAUAACACUUUUAGUGAUGACUUAGAUCUCAAACUAUGGGGUCUCAAACUAUGGCCCGUAGGCCAAAUCUGGCCCUCUGCCUGUUUUUAAAAAUAAAGUUGUAUUAAAACACACCUUCUGCCAUUCCUCUAUGUAUUACCGGUGGCUGCUUCAUGCUACAAUGGCAGAGUUGAGCCAUUGUGAUAGAGACCAUGCAGCCCAGCAAAGCCUAAAAUGUUUACUCUCUGGUCUUUAGAAAAAAUGUUUGCUGAACCCUGGCUUAAACAGAAAAUCAAAACUCACCUGAAGGACUGGUUCUGUAAAGUCUCAAUAGCAUGGGAAAUUUAGAUUUAAAAUCUCUGCAAUUUGGACCAAUCCACGUUCUGCCGUGGUUGUGUUGUUGAUGUAACGGGCCCAGACUACAGCUCAAGUGUAGACAAGGGUGUGUGUGUGUGUGUGUGUGUGUGUGUGUGUUCAUGGAGAGACUGGGAAUGGGAACAGGAUGGGGAGGAAAGAGAAAUGCUUUAUGGCUUAGGAAUAUUGAAUUCGGAGCCAGAGCAGGGGAAGUUGUGCCACCCUAUAAGCCUCAGCUUUGGUUGUAUGAGAAACCUGGAGAUAAUGUAGCUGAUGGCACAGGGUUGUUGUGGGCAGAAAAUGAGCUCCUGUGAGCAGAGCACCUCUGCUGUCUCUAGGAGACUCAGCAAGUCCUGGGGACUCCUCCGCAUUUCUUCUUCAGUGCCCAGGGUGCAUUAAGUGCUCAACAAACGGGCUCCUAUUCGGGAAUUACUCAAGCGACACACAAUCUUAUUUGGGGAACAGACAAUAUCUGGGCAAGAUAAAACUUCCCUCUUUCCUUUCAAGGUUGGACAUUACGUGCUAAUUUGGGUCAUCUCCUGAGUGUGACCUUCAGCCAGCCAUUGGUCACCUUACGUGCAAGUAGGGCAUGAGUGGCAUUCCAUGUAUAAACCAUGUGACAGCUCGGAAAGCAGACGGUCCUGUAAGUGUAACCCACAGACUGAAAAUGACCCAUGGCAAAGGGCAAUGCGUGCAUGAUUUUUAUGCUGGAAUUCAUGAUGGAACAUUCUGGAUUCCUCCCAGCAAACCUGAGCUGGCCUGCUCUGUUGGGCAGCGAGGUCUGCUCAGAGAGACGCUGGUGUUUAUCUGCCACAUCCUUUAGUUUUUAUUGCACUCAGUCGCCUUGUAUAUUUAAUGAGGAAAUUUGCUGAAAUGGUUACUAAGCCACAGGGGGAAAAAAGGAAGGAGGUGGGGAGCCACUCUCCGACCCUGAAGUUGGCAAAGUUGCCUCAUUAAUCAGACCUGUGCUGGGAUACGACGUUAUUCAUGUUUAGGGCAUUAAAACUUGAAGCUAAAAUUGUAGCAGGCGGUAAUUUGAGUACAGGCAGCCUGUCUCUCUGCGAUAGAUUUAUGAUGUUUACUCAACAAUGGAUGGGAACUUUCAGGGAAAGACUGACCGCCCCCAACCCCCGCCUUUUCAAAACACAUUGUCAGGCCACAGUGAUCAAGUUCCCGAUUUUUGUGUGAGUAUGCAGAGCCUUUUUAAAAGUCUUCAGGGUGAUAAGAGCAGACUGUAUUCGAUCUUCUCCAUUCUGAGCUCAGCGGAAAAUAUGCAAGGCAGAUGGAAUGAGCUGUCUACCAGGCGAAUGGUGGUUGCCACGCUCUCUGACUACACUGCUCUUCCUGACGUGACCGGUGCAGUGCCACCCCCACCGGCCUUGAUGUUGAAUCUGGAACAUCUGGUCACUGUGUCACCUCAUCAGGACCUCAAAGAAUUCCCGACAAAAGCUUUCAUGUUCCCGGCUGAGGGUCUUGCUUUCCUGUGCUUCAAGGUUACAAUUCUUGGAACUGAUUGCUGGGAAUUUCAGGAAAGUGAGGGUUCCCAUUUUCCAAGUUUUCCCACCUCCUUUCUGUCAUGACACACAGACAGAUGGAGGCCACAUCCAUCUCUGUCAGUCCAGGCAGACUUUGCCUUCAGGUCUCACAUAGCAAAGGAAGAGGCAUCAGCCUAGCCUUGGGUCUUGCCACUCAGAUGGGAAGCCCUUUCUGUAAGAGGAUUCCUUUAAGAUGUGGCACAAAGAACAUUUAUACUGCACUUGGACAGGAAGGCCCCCAAGUGCAUGAAAGCACUUUAGAGUGUUCAUCUCCUCUCCCUGGCACAGGUGUAGCAGAGGUGAGACCCAGUUCUGGUCACUCUGGCUGUUAGCUUUGUUUUUAGCUUUGCUUUUAGCUUUGCCCUGGGCCUAGUGUGUUGGUGAUGAAUUGCAGAUAAUACCACCAACCACAUAGGGCUGUUUUGCAAACUAAGUUGACAUUUUAAGCAGUUUGGUUAAACAAACUGACUUUGAGUAUGGGCUCUGCCACCUCCUAAGGGAGUCAUUUUGGGUAAGUUACUGGCUCCCUCUGAUCUUUAUUUCACCAUUGUGAGAUGGGAUGAAGCUAUUAUCUGCCUCACUGGGCCAUUGCUGAGUAUGUGGAAGUGCUUUUUUUUUUUUUUAAAGACAAAAUAUGCUAGUAGAUUUUCAAUAAAUGUUAGGUUCUAUUCUCAAUAUUAUGGAAAGAUGCACUUCUUGAAUUUGGGGAAGAAACAAAGGAGAUUGUAUUUUAUGCCAAAGUCAUAAGCGCUGACGCAUAUCAAACCACAAAUAUUUCUAUCAUCCAGGCUGUGGGGGGAUCAACAUGUCACCCCAUCAUGUGACAGUUAGAUAAAGGAUAUGAAAGUCCUGCCUAGAGUGGACACUAUAAUUUUGUAAGCUUUUCUUUAAGAGGGUCUCUGACUUUUCAGUCUUCUGUGUUUGUUUUGUCAUUUAAGUUCAUGUGCUGCAACAGAUUUAAAGUAGACACUACUUCCCUCUGCCCUGCCCGGCGGUUACACAUGAGAAUUUUUCAGUUUGAACUAAAUACAAGGAAUAUUAAGUUAGACUUAAAGAAAUAGCCCCCAACUUGCAACAAGUGGGGCAGUAAAUAAAGGGAGCCCUUUUCUACAGGGGCUGAAUGGGAGAGGAGAGCUAAAGGAGUUUGGGAGGUGAAAGCAACUGUAAUGAUUUAUCAUCAGGGAAGACUUAUUUACCCAUGGAAGGAAUACUUUAAAAUCUACCUUUCUCAUAAUAAGGUAUGUUCAUAUGCACAGCACAACUUAAAUACAAGUAUUUAUGUAGUUUUGCAAGGAGCUUGCAAGGUUAGAAACACACACCACAUAUGAACUAUGUUCAGUAACACUACCUAUGCAGUCUUUGAAAAACUUCUAUAGAUCAUCUGGCUAGGGAACUGUGAGUCUCAUCUGUACCCACACGAUCCCAAAGAGGAGGGGCCCUAUAGAAACAAGAACCAACCAACAAAAAGCAGUGACAACAGGCACCAUGACAACAAAAGGAGUUUUGAAGUGCAUCUUCAAAUAGCACACAAUUUUCCAAUUUAAAUAGUUUGGAAUGAAUCAAAGGGAAAAAAGCAUUAAUUAGAUACAACUGAAUUUCUCGAAAGUAUAUUAACACAGCCUACAAAUAAAUCCUCAAAUGUACCACUCUCAACAAAUCUUGCAUUGACUGACAUUCUCUGUCAACUAGAGAGGAUGCAGGCAGGAAAAUGAAUGAAAUUUCCAUUCUUCAGUGUUUACCUGAUGUCUCAGGUUGUUUGCUUUGGGGGAGUGGCUGUUUGCAGGGCUAUGGGAAUUUGUGAAACACUUUGCUAGUAAAGCCAGCUGAGGCCUUCGGGACCAAAUCGCCAAAUGAAUGACAGAGGAUCCUUGCAGUAGCUUUGUCUGUCUGCAGAGCGGACUCCUGUGAGUGUUCAUCACAUUUAAAGAAGUAACAUGCCGGGAGAACGGAAAAGGGUGCUAAUGAUUUACAAGCGAAGAUAAGAUAUUAUUAGGAGUACGAGGUCAAUCAGAUAAAGAUACCAUACACACAACUUGGACUUGGGCCCAUUCUUUAAUUUAUUCUGAAAGGAAGAGGAGGAGGAAAGGAUGGGGCCUGAGAAUGUUAGCAAUUGGCUUCCCGCAAGCUGCCUGUUUUAACACUCUUUGUGAUUUAUUUCAAUCUCAUCUUUUACAAAGGUACGGCAAUUUGUUCCAUUUUCCUGCUUCCUUCUCCUCUUCCUCCUUCUUCUAAGAUGGCAGAGAGAAACUUUCUUACAGGUCCCAGCAACACUGCCGUAUAGCUUAGAAGACUGGAGAUAUUUAUUCUCAAUGUACUCAGUUUACUUUCCAACUGGAGCAUUAUUUGAAAGACGGUCUGCCAGCAUUCAACUGAACAGACACAAAUGCAGGUAUGAAUAGUGAGGGGAGAGAGUGGUUUGAAGGCUGGGGUUGCUGUCAGGUCUGAUGAACCCUCCAGCACUCGCCAUCAUCGGCUACAAUGUUGAGGAGACUCCAUCACAACCUCAGAUCAAGAGUGUUUCUUUGUUCCUCCAAGCCUUCCAAAGCACUUUAUGGACCUUGUAUUUGGACAACACCUCCAUGAAGCUUGGAAGCCAAUAAGUCACAUCUUCAUUGAACAAUUCAUGAAAUUACAGGGCAGAGGUGAAAUAUGACCUUCGAGGGAAAAGCUGGCGGUGGAGCCCAGAACUUCAUUUUGCUGGGAUGGUUCCCUGCCGUUAUUCUCCUUUCUCACGAAAGGAUCCUGCAGUCAAUUUACGGCAUUUGUAAAUAAAGGCGGCUGUGUCAGCCUCCUGCCUGGAGAAAGGAAGGCAGCACCUUGAAUGCUGAGAGUGUAUCUCAGGCUUACUCUAUACUUCCAUUACAAUAUCUCAGAAGUUAUAACAGAUGAAGAUGGGGCGAGGUGGUCAAGGUAAGACCGGGGUCAGCAGGGCAAUGGCGUGUGAGGAGUUUCUCAUUAGAAAACACAAAUGGGGAUUUGGAUUGGUUGUUUUUCUUGUCUCAGAAAUCUUCUUCAGAAUGACCUCCCCACCCCUGCUUUGUCUUUGAAAGUUUUGCCAUGUUUGAAUUGGCAUACUUACACAUUGUAAUGAUUUUUCUUUCAUCAAUUAAAAACAAAGCUAUUUUUUGGCCAAGUGUCUCCUGAAGCAAAGUUAAGAAACAGAAUAAGAAGGUUUUGAGUCACGCACAAGACUGAAAAUUAGCUAAUAAAAACCCUUUUCCCCCCUAUUUCCUCAAAACUCAGUUCUCAGAAAAACAAUUCUGGAUGCACCCUGUUUACCAGCAAGGUUAAAAGUUCAAGAAAAGAAAGACAUCACAAUAUUUACACUCAGGCAAAUCACUGUUCAUCUACCACGUCUGACCCUGCAGAUUUGGGAGCGGGCCGCUGUCCUGCCUGUCAAAGGGAGAGGAAGCAGUGCCUGUCUGGCUGGCCCUAUAUUUGCUCCUGUUGUCUCACUCUCUGCCACCAGUUUUGUUUUUUGUUGUUUGUUUGUUUUUGUUUAUUUGUUUUUUCUAAGACUGCCGGCAUCCCUUCUUUCUAGAUCGUCUUGUCUUUCUUUUGAUAUUUUAUUUUCAUGGAUAAGAUCGCUAGGACCCCAUCAGAGUAUUUUUCUGAUGGCACGAUGCUACUACUUUCUGAUAUAUUUAUUUCAUUCUCAAUAUUUGAAUCUAUGAAAUAAAAUAAUAGUGAUAAUAGCCAC